rnacentral:lncRNA from 1 species
CAAGGCUCGGGAGGCGAGCGCUGAACAGCAGGGGAAGAGUGCCGCUCCCAGACSGGACUCGGAAAAAUGACGCACGCGGCGCUCCGGGCCGCGCCAAUACGGGACUGCCCCGCCCCGCCCGGUGCAUUGUGGAGCUUAGAGGCCCCUCCCGGCGCCGAGUCUCGCGAGAGAACGAGAAUCACGAGGACCGCGGAAUCGAAGGCCGGGAGAACCCGCUUCCUCCCCUCUGACCGGAGUUCCGCCCCCGCGCCGGGUGGGCCCGUCACUACUCUUCGCCUUUCCGGUUGCGGRGAUUGGUCCGCCGGAGCACGUGACCAGGUCCCGGGCCUUUUACCCCAACACAGCAGCCCUGAGGGUUCCAAAGUGGCUGUGAGGCCAUGGUCCUGGAAGGAUUUGCCUGAAGCCACAGACUCCGGCGCCUGGGCUAUAACCCUCCUUGGCCCAUAAACCGUAACCACCCGGCCAUGAAGCUCUUGUACCUUGAGAGGUGAGGGUGGGCAUCCAAACCCCGAUGAUAUCCCUUCUCGCUGCUUCCUGCCCAAGAUGGUGACCCUAGAAAAUGUUGCCUGUGCCUCCUGGGCUCCCCUCCCUACAGCCACAGAGCUGCUGGUCCCUUAAGUUCCUUGCACCRGACACAAGAGAGUCUCAGGGCAGGGCCAGCAAAAGAGGAGAAGCAGAGGGUGAGGAACCAGGAAACCAUAAAUGGAAGAAGGGAGAUGAGAAAUGCAAAGGCCUGAAGAGAAAUGACUGUCCACUUGUAAAAAGGCAAAAAAUUUGUCUUCAUAGAAUUUAACUCCUAGUGUCUAGAAAUAAGGAAACAAAAACCAUACUAUGGGGCUGAGAAUAUAGCUUAGUGGUAGAGUAUUUGACWAGCAUGGGCAAAGCCCUGGGUUCCUGUGGAGAGCCACUCCAAAUGCACGCACCUUUAACUCCUGCUGCACCACGGGGAUCUGAAAGAUCACUGUGGUCUGGCCARUAGUGCCAUGACUUGUGACUCUGGMGACAGCACCCAGAGGGGUUGAGCUACACUCACCUGUUCCCUUGUAAUCCUACCCCUUGCCUCAUUUGACUGGCUUUUUCCCAAUAAAGGGGUUCAGCAUGUGCUUCUCCCUCUCUUU